UACGAAGGGGGCUAGCGUUGUUCGGAAUUACUGGGCGUAAAGGGCGCGUAGGCGGCGUGUCAAGUCAGGCGUGAAAGCCCCAGGCUCAACCUGGGAACCGCGCUUGAGACUGGCAUGCUCGAGUUCGGGAGAGGAUGGUGGAAUUCCCAGUGUAGAGGUGAAAUUCGUAGAUAUUGGGAAGAACACCGAUGGCGAAGGCAGCCAUCUGGACCGACACUGACGCUGAGGCGCGAAAGCGUGGGGAGCAAACAGG
rnacentral:rRNA from 1 species